AUUCCUCCAAUUCAAUUAAUUUUGAACUGGGACUUGGGGAUCUUUUGUAGGACAUUUGUUCUACUUCCCUUAAAUAAAUUAGUAAAGAGUCAUUGCUCUUUUGAAGUGUGAUAAGUUAUCUACGCUUUAAAGAUGUAGUGGAAGGGCUUUACUUCAAACUGUCUGUAAAAAAGACAAUGUUUUUAUGA
rnacentral:misc_RNA from 1 species